UCGGAAGCACAUGAGAUGACGU
rnacentral:tRNA from 1 species